UUUACGAUCUGGGUUCGGCUUCUUUUGAGUUUCUUCUAAUCUGGGUUUCGUUUUAUUGAUCCAUCACCGAGUGCCUUCAUUCCUAUUGAUGCAGUUUAUUCAGCACUUGGUUCUGUGGGUUACAAGAAACUUGCGGUUCACAUAUCGGAAACUUGGUGGUCAUCUAAAGGAGAUGAGGGGCAACACUAGGUAAUGCAAAGAAGUAUAAUGGGAAUCUAAUUAAGUUGAUUUCGUCAAAGAAAGGGACACCCAUGAAGCCCAAUUGUGAUUUGAAUAUUUAUUUAUUUGCUUUGUUUAAUGAAAAUAUGAAGCCUGGACCCACUUCCGAGAGAAAUUACGGUCUGUUUAAGCCUGAUGGAACGCCUGUUUAUGCGCUGCGGAUUAAUUCGAGGGGUUCGACUUCUUUUUAGUUUCUUCUAAUCUGGGUUUUGUUUCAUUGAUCGAAUUGAAUUGGACGCUUAGUUAUCGUGACGAAGAUGGAGAGCCGUUGAUAAAUAGUAAUACUCCUUUACAAAUCAUUGAUGAAGACGACGAUUUGAUCCCUGGUAAUGAAUCUCGUGUAAUGAAAAUGCUAAAUCGCAUAUUCGAGAUUGGAUCAACUAUAGUAAUAGGUACGAAGGGCUGCAUACAUCUGGCCAUGGUUAUUGUGGUGAACUUGAGGAAGUUCUUAAAAUUGUGAAGCCACGCCAUUUUCUACCCAUUCAUGGAGAACUGUUGUUUCUAAAAGAGCAUGAACUCCUUGGGAGAUCAACUGGCAUUCGACAUAGUACAGUUAUAAAGAAUGGAAGAUGCUUGGUGUUUCCCACUCGAGGAAUAGAAGAGUACUUUCUA